AUCCAGCUGAUGAGUCCAAAAUAGUACGAAACACGAGUCAUGGAU
rfam:Schistosoma margrebowiei strain Zambia genome assembly, scaffold: SMRZ_contig0000407